AAAUCUAUAUGAGAAAAUUUUAUAUAUAAAUAAAUUUUUAUGAUUUAAAAAAAUUUAAUUUAAAUUUAUUUUACAUGUAAAUUUUAGUGUUAAUUUUUAAUUAUUUUAAUAAUAAUUAUUAAUAUUUGCAGUAAUUAAAAUUAAAAAUUUAAGAAAUUAAGAUUUAGAAAUAUUUUGAUUAUUAACAAAUUUUGUGCCAGCAGUUGCGGUUAUACAAAAAAUAAUUUAAAUUUUAUUGGUAUAUAAUAAAUAAGAAUUAUUAUUUAAAUUAAAUAUUAAAUUAUUAAGUGAAAUUUUAAUUUAAUUAAAAUUUAUAUUAAUUUUAUGAUUUAUUAAAUUUUAUAAAAAACUAGGAUUAGAUACCCUACUAUUAAAAAUUAAAUUUAUAAUACUAAAAUAGUAGAUAAUAAUUUAUUGAAACUUAAAUAAUUUGGCGGUAUUUUAGUUCAUUUAGAGGAAUCUGUUUAAUAAUUGAUAAUCCACGAAUAAAUUUACUUAAUUUAUUAUUUUGUAUAUCGUUGUUAAAAAAAUAUUUUUUAAUAAAAAUAAUAUUUAAAAAUUUUUAUAUAAAAUUAAUUCAGAUCAAGAUGCAGAUUAUAAUUAAGAAUAUAAUGGAUUACAAUAAAUAAAUUUAAAUGAAUAAUAUUUUUUAAUAAAUAUUUGAAGGUGGAUUUAAAUGUAAUUUUAAUUAAUUUAUUAAAAUGAUUAUAUAUUAAAAUAUGUACAUAUUGCCCGUCGCUUUCAUUAAUAAAUUGGAAUAAGUCGUAACAAAGUAGAGGUACUGGAAAGUGUUUCUAGAAAGAA
rnacentral:ncRNA from 1 species